GCGGCUUUAGCUCAGUUGGGAGAGCGUUAGACUGAAGAUCUAAAGGUCCUGUGUUCGAUCCACAGAAAUCGCA
rfam:Babjeviella inositovora NRRL Y-12698 unplaced genomic scaffold BABINscaffold_6, whole genome shotgun sequence.